rnacentral:rRNA from 1 species
CCUACGGGGGGCAGCAGUGAGGAAUAUUGGUCAAUGGACGAGAGUCUGAACCAGCCAAGCAGCGUGAAGGAUGACUGCCCUAUGGGUUGUAAACUUCUUUUAUAUGGGAAUAAAAUGUUCCACGUGUGGGAUUUUGUAUGUACCAUAUGAAUAAGGAUCGGCUAACUCCGUGCCAGCAGCCGCGGUAAUACGAAGGAUCCGAGCGUUAUCCGGAUUUAUUGGGUUUAAAGGGAGCGUAGGUGGAUUGUUAAGUCAGUUGUGAAAGUUUGCGGCUCAACCGGAAAAUUGCAGUUGAAACUGGCAGUCGUGAGUACAGUAGAGGUGGGCGGAAUUCGUGGUGUAGCGGUGAAAUGCUUAGAUAUCACGAAGAACUCCGAUUGCGAAGGCAGCUCACUGGACUGCAACUGACACUGAGGCUCGAAAGUGUGGGUAUCAAACAGGAUUAGAUACCCCUGUAGUC